AACGAACGCUGGCGGCAUGCCUAACACAUGCAAGUCGAACGAGACCUUUGGGUCUAGUGGCGCACGGGUGCGUAACGCGUGGGAAUCUGCCCUUGGGUUCGGAAUAACAGUGAGAAAUUGCUGCUAAUACCGGAUGAUGUCUUCGGACCAAAGAUUUAUCGCCCAGGGAUGAGCCCGCGUAGGAUUAGCUAGUUGGUGGGGUAAUGGCCUACCAAGGCGACGAUCCUUAGCUGGUCUGAGAGGAUGGUCAGCCACACUGGGACUGAGACACGGCCCAGACUCCUACGGGAGGCAGCAGUGGGGAAUAUUGGACAAUGGGCGCAAGCCUGAUCCAGCAAUGCCGCGUGAGUGAUGAAGGCCUUAGGGUUGUAAAGCUCUUUUACCAGGGAUGAUAAUGACAGUACCUGGAGAAUAAGCUCCGGCUAACUCCGUG
rnacentral:rRNA from 1 species